ensembl:lncRNA
AAUGAAUCCAAGGGAGUCAGUGAGAAGUUGUCUGAAGAAGGAGGCUCUGUCCUUAGUCAGCAAGCUCCAAAAAACACUUUCCUUCCUUUUCCACCACGGUGGCCUAAAAUGGAUGGUUACUGUGUAGAUUAAUAUAGAAAGUAUAUGUCAGCGAAGUAUUCAGAGUUAGCUGUUAGCUCUUUCCCUGGCCAUUUUCUUAGCUAUUUUAAGUGGACAUUUAUACAACAAACAGAUCCGGAUUUGGCUCCUCAUGUUGAAGAAAUUAAAUUUACUACCCGCUCAUCCCCCGGUGCUCUCAGGCCUUGGACAACUUCCUCAUCACGGGACAGGGGACCCCAGGCUUCUUUCCAAGCCCUACCGCCUCCCCGCAUCUUGAGCCUCCUAGACUGGGCCGACACCACCCAUGCUCCUGGUUCUCCGGCCUCUGUGCUCAAACUGGAACCAGGUGGCCAGCUUCCCUGAGUCUCAGCUGUGGACAUCAGGAGGGGAUCUUCCAGAACCAGGGAUUGAACCCACAUCUUCUGCAUCGGCAGACGGAUUCCAUACUGCUGAGUCACCGGGAACCUCUGUGCCCAAAGACCAACAUCCUGAUUUUUUUGCUCCAGGAUGUGGGCAAGGGUGCGUCCAGCCUUGAGACUUACCUCGUUGCUGAGACUUGACACAGGCUGACAUUUCCUACUCCAGCCACUUGCCAUGUUUCCUACUCGUCCGAUUCCAAGUUCCGCAUGCUGGCCUCACACUUGGUGGAAGUGCAGUGUUUACACAGAGCUUGUCUGUACCUUCGUGCCCUCCUGACAACCUGGUCAGACGUCCAACCUCAUGUUCCCACAUCUCCCCAUCUUCCAGGGAACGAAAAAAAAGC